rnacentral:rRNA from 1 species
GGGACACGUGGUAUCCUGUCUGAAUAUGGGGGGACCAUCCUCCAAGGCUAAAUACUCCUGACUGACCGAUAGUGAACCAGUACCGUGAGGGAAAGGCGAAAAGAACCCCGGCGAGGGGAGUGAAAAAGAACCUGAAACCGUGUACGUACAAGCAGUGGGAGCACGCUUCGGCGUGUGACUGCGUACCUUUUGUAUAAUGGGUCAGCGACUUAUAUUCUGUAGCAAGGUUAACCGAAUAGGGGAGCCGAAGGGAAACCGAGUCUUAACUGGGCGUUAAGUUGCAGGGUAUAGACCCGAAACCCGGUGAUCUAGCCAUGGGCAGGUUGAAGGUUGGGUAACACUAACUGGAGGACCGAACCGACUAAUGUUGAAAAAUUAGCGGAUGACUUGUGGCUGGGGGUGAAAGGCCAAUCAAACCGGGAGAUAGCUGGUUCUCCCCGAAAGCUAUUUAGGUAGCGCCUCGUGAAUUCAUCUCCGGGGGUAGAGCACUGUUUCGGCAAGGGGGUCAUCCCGACUUACCAACCCGAUGCAAACUGCGAAUACCGGAGAAUGUUAUCACGGGAGACACACGGCGGGUGCUAACGUCCGUCGUGAAGAGGGAAACAACCCAGACCGCCAGCUAAGGUCCCAAAGUCAUGGUUAAGUGGGAAACGAUGUGGGAAGGCCCAGACAGCCAGGAUGUUGGCUUAGAAGCAGCCAUCAUUUAAAGAAAGCGUAAUAGCUCACUGGUCGAGUCGGCCUGCGCGGAAGAUGUAACGGGGCUAAACCAUGCACCGAAGCUGCGGCAGCGACGCUGAUGCGUUGUUGGGUAGGGGAGCGUUCUGUAAGCCUGCGAAGGUGUGCUGUGAGGCAUGCUGGAGGUAUCAGAAGUGCGAAUGCUGACAUAAGUAACGAUAAAGCGGGUGAAAAGCCCGCUCGCCGGAAGACCAAGGGUUCCUGUCCAACGUUAAUCGGGGCAGGGUGAGUCGACCCCUAAGGCGAGGCCGAAAGGCGUAGUCGAUGGGAAACAGGUUAAUAUUCCUGUACUUGGUGUUACUGCGAAGGGGGGACGGAGAAGGCUAUGUUGGCCGGGCGACGGUUGUCCCGGUUUAAGCGUGUAGGCUGGUUUUCCAGGCAAAUCCGGAAAAUCAAGGCUGAGGCGUGAUGACGAGGCACUACGGUGCUGAAGCAACAAAUGCCCUGCUUCCAGGAAAAGCCUCUAAGCAUCAGGUAACAUCAAAUCGUACCCCAAACCGACACAGGUGGUCAGGUAGAGAAUACCAAGGCGCUUGAGAGAACUCGGGUGAAGGAACUAGGCAAAAUGGUGCCGUAACUUCGGGAGAAGGCACGCUGAUAUGUAGGUGAGGUCCCUCGCGGAUGGAGCUGAAAUCAGUCGAAGAUACCAGCUGGCUGCAACUGUUUAUUAAAAACACAGCACUGUGCAAACACGAAAGUGGACGUAUACGGUGUGACGCCUGCCCGGUGCCGGAAGGUUAAUUGAUGGGGUCAGCGCAAGCGAAGCUCUUGAUCGAAGCCCCGGUAAACGGCGGCCGUAACUAUAACGGUCCUAAGGUAGCGAAAUUCCUUGUCGGGUAAGUUCCGACCUGCACGAAUGGCGUAAUGAUGGCCAGGCUGUCUCCACCCGAGACUCAGUGAAAUUGAACUCGCUGUGAAGAUGCAGUGUACCCGCGGCAAGACGGAAAGACCCCGUGAACCUUUACUAUAGCUUGACACUGAACAUUGAGCCUUGAUGUGUAGGAUAGGUGGGAGGCUUUGAAGUGUGGACGCCAGUCUGCAUGGAGCCGACCUUGAAAUACCACCCUUUAAUGUUUGAUGUUCUAACGUUGAC